rnacentral:tRNA from 1 species
AGGGGUGGUGGCGCAGUUGGCUAGCGCGUAGGUCUCAUAGCUAAAGAGUGAUCCUGAGGUCGAGAGUUCGAGCCUCUCUCACCCCAUUCUUUUUUCAAAUGUCAUAUGUCACUGAAAAUAGAGAAAUUGUAUGUUGGGCUGCAAUAAUAUAAAAAAAGAAAUUAAAAAUAUAAGGGGUGGUGGCGCAGUUGGCUAGCGCGUAGGUCUCAUAGCUAAAGAGUGAUCCUGAGGUCGAGAGUUCGAGCCUCUCUCACCCCAUUC